rnacentral:rRNA from 1 species
UACGUAGGUGGCAAGCGUUAUCCGGAUUUAUUGGGCGUAAAGGGAACGCAGGCGGUCUUUUAAGUCUGAUGUGAAAGCCUUCGGCUUAACCGGAGUAGUGCAUUGGAAACUGGGAGACUUGAGUGCAGAAGAGGAGAGUGGAACUCCAUGUGUAGCGGUGAAAUGCGUAGAUAUAUGGAAGAACACAGUGGCGAAAGCGGCUCUCUGGUCUGUAACUGACGCUGAGGUUCGAAAGCGUGGGUAGCAAACAGG